rnacentral:rRNA from 1 species
GCCAGAGACCGGCGCACGGGUGCGUAACGCGUAUGCAACCUACCUUUCACAGGGGGAUAGCCCAGAGAAAUUUGGAUUAAUACCCCAUGGUAUAUUGAGAUGGCAUCAUCUUAUUAUUAAAGUCACAACGGUGAAAGAUGGGCAUGCGUCCUAUUAGCUAGUUGGUGUGGUAACGGCAUACCAAGGCUACGAUAGGUAGGGGUCCUGAGAGGGAGAUCCCCCACACUGGUACUGAGACACGGACCAGACUCCUACGGGAGGCAGCAGUGAGGAAUAUUGGUCAAUGGGCGCAAGCCUGAACCAGCCAUGCCGCGUGCAGGAUGAAGCAUCUAUGGUGUGUAAACUGCUUUUAUACGGGAAGAAUCCCCGCCUCGUGAGGCGGACUGACGGUACCGUAAGAAUAAGGACCGGCUAACUCCGUGCCAGCAGCCGCGGUAAUACGGAGGGUCCAAGCGUUAUCCGGAAUCAUUGGGUUUAAAGGGUCCGUAGGCGGGCUGAUAAGUCAGUGGUGAAAUCUCCCCGCUCAACGGGGAAACGGCCAUUGAUACUGUUAGCCUUGAAUUAUUAGGAAGUAACUAGAAUAUGUAGUGUAGCGGUGAAAUGCUUAGAUAUUACAUGGAAUACCAAUUGCGAAGGCAGGUUACUACUAAUUGAUUGACGCUGAUGGACGAAAGCGUGGGUAGCGAACAGGAUUAGAUACCCUGGUAGUCCACGCCGUAAACGAUGGAUACUAGCUGUUGGGCGCAAGUUCAGUGGCUAAGCGAAAGUGAUAAGUAUCCCACCUGGGGAGUACGGGCGCAAGCCUGAAACUCAAA